rnacentral:rRNA from 1 species
GUGAGGAAUUUUCCGCAAUGGGCGAAAGUCUGACGGAGCAAUGCCGCGUGAAGGAUGAAGGCCUAUGGGUUGUAAACUUCUUUUCUUAGAGAAGAAUAUUGACGGUAUCUGAGGAAUAAGCAUCGGCUAACUCUGUGCCAGCAGCCGCGGUAAGACAGAGGAUGCAAGCGUUAUCCGGAAUGAUUGGGCGUAAAGCGUCUGUAGGUGGCUUCAAAAGUCUCCUGUCAAAGAUCAGGGCUUAACCCUGGGACGGCAGGAGAAACUCUGAGGCUAGAGUUUGGUAGGGGCAGAGGGAAUUCCCGGUGGAGCGGUGAAAUGCGUAGAGAUCGGGAGGAACACCAAAGGCGAAAGCACUCUGCUGGGCCACAACUGACACUGAGAGACGAAAGCGAGGGGAGCAAAAGGGAUUAGAAACCCGUGUAGUCC